GUUAAUUACUCUUGUGUUACCACAAAACUUGGAAGAGAAAAUGGACAAGGCAACAUUUCUUAAGGUUUUCUUGAUCUCCUUUUUGCUUAUGUUGUUGGUACAAGGAAGCCAUGUGCAAGGAGGAUGUACCAGCGAUGCCGAUUGUGCUACGGUUUUGAAAUGCAUAGAAGCACAACCCAUCUGUGACUUGACAAGACAUCAAUGUGUCUGUCCACGAACUCCACCAGCUAAUUAUGGAACAAGAACCAUUCACCAAAACUGAUUUUAUUAUGUUUUUUCAAUUUCAUAAGAUUCAAUAAAGAUCUAUUAUUUUCAUAUUAAUCAUGUUGGAAAAUGGAUGGUGUUAUUUGCGCGAUGUAUUUUAUCAUUAAAGAUUUCUUUGUUUUUAGAUUAAUCACAAAUCAAGAAUAUAUUGGUUGCUUUUGGUACAA